UGGGGAAUUUUGGACAAUGGGCGAAAGCCUGAUCCAGCAAUGCCGCGUGUGUGAAGAAGGCCUUCGGGUUGUAAAGCACUUUUGUCCGGAAAGAAAUGGCUCUGGUUAAUACCUGGGGUCGAUGACGGUACCGGAAGAAUAAGGACCGGCUAACUACGUGCCAGCAGCCGCGGUAAUACGUAGGGUCCAAGCGUUAAUCGGAAUUACUGGGCGUAAAGCGUGCGCAGGCGGUUGUGCAAGACCGAUGUGAAAUCCCCGAACUUAACUUGGGAAUUGCAUUGGUGACUGCACGGCUAGAGUGUGUCAGAGGGGGGUAGAAUUCCACGUGUAGCAGUGAAAUGCGGAGAGAUGUGGAGGAAUACCGAUGGCGAAGGCAGCCCCCUGGGAUAACACUGACGCGCAUGCACGAAAGCGUGGGGAGCAAACAGG
rnacentral:rRNA from 1 species